CCUACGGGAGGCAGCAGUGGGGAAUAUUGCACAAUGGGCGCAAGCCUGAUGCAGCCAUGCCGCGUGUGUGAAGAAGGCCUUCGGGUUGUAAAGCACUUUCAGCGGGGAGGAAGGCGGUGAGGUUAAUAACCUCAUCGAUUGACGUUACCCGCAGAAGAAGCACCGGCUAACUCCGUGCCAGCAGCCGCGGUAAUACGGAGGGUGCAAGCGUUAAUCGGAAUUACUGGGCGUAAAGCGCACGCAGGCGGUCUGUCAAGUCGGAUGUGAGAUCCCCGGGCUCAACCUGGGAACUGCAUUCGAAACUGGCAGGCUAGAGUCUUGUAGAGGGGGGUAGAAUGCCAGGUGUAGCGGUGAAAUGCGUAGAGAUCUGGAGGAAUACCGGUGGCGAAGGCGGCCCCCUGGACAAAGACUGACGCUCAGGUGCGAAAGCGUGGGGAGCAAACAGGAUUAGAUACCCGGGUAGUC
rnacentral:rRNA from 1 species